AAAUCGAUGGAAAAUGACCGAAAAUUGGAAAAAUCGACGAAAAUCGACUGGA
rnacentral:sRNA from 1 species